GCCGGAGUGGCGGAAUUGGCAGACGCGCUACGUUCAGGACGUAGUGGCCGUAAGGUCGUGGAGGUUCGAGUCCUCUCUUCGGCA
rnacentral:tRNA from 1 species